rnacentral:rRNA from 1 species
CCAAUAGCGUAUAUUAAAGUUGUUGCAGUUAAAAAGCUCGUAGUUGAAUUUCGGGGUUAGCAGGUCGGUCGUGCCAAUGGUAUGCACUGGCCUUGCUGAUUCCUCCCUCUUGAUGAGCCGUAAUGCCAUUAAUUUGGUGUUGCGGGGAAUCAGGACUGUUACUUUGAAAAAAUUAGAGUGUUUAAAGCAGGCAAGCGCUUGAAUACAUUAGCAUGGAAUAAUGAAAUAGGACGUUUGAUCCUAUUUUGUUGGUUUCUAGGAUUGACGUAAUGAUUAAUAGGGAUAGUUGGGGGCAUUAGUAUUCAAUUGUCAGAGGUGAAAUUCUUGGAUUUAUUGAAGACUAACUACUGCGAAAGCAUUUGCCAAGGAUGUUUUCAUUAAUCAAGAACGAAAGUUAGGGGAUCGAAGACGAUCAGAUACCGUCGUAGUCUUAACCAUAAACUAUGCCGACUAGGGAUCGGAUGAUGUUAAUUUUUUAAUGACUCAUUCGGCGCCUUACG